GUCCUGGUGCUAUCCUAGCGCAUCCUACCCCUCGCGCUCGUCAGUGGGGCUGGGACAGCGCGUUCACACAGGGUCAGAGCAGGGCGGAUAUUUCUCGCCGUCAGGAAGGAGGACUCAAGUACCCGGCAGAUUGUAUGAGGAAACUGAGGAACCUAGUGGUGCAGUUACUUGUCCAAGAUCACACAGCAAGCCAGAGGCAGAGCCAGGAAGAGAAGGCAAUUCACUUGAGUCUCAUUCCAGUGCCCUAUCCACUGUAUCAUACCCUAAGAUUUAAAAUCUGCAUUAAUGUUCUUGAAGACGGAAUAAACAGUACAUGAACUACAUUCACAGAGGCGCCUUGUGACAGAGUGCUGGUUACAAAACCCUGGACCAGACCUCAGGCACACCAGCUCCAAUCAGGAAAGGGGAAUUGGAGCUGGCUGAGUAAGCCCAGGCCUAAGUGGCAAAUGGAGAACAGCUGCUGACCUCAUCAGCCAGGGGCUACAUAAAGGCUGUCAGGAAGGAAGCCAAGGGGGAAAAAAUGGAAGAGCUUGGGAGGCAUUGUUAGCUGCAAGCCUGAUGCUGUCUCUAGCUACAAGGUGGUGGGAACUUGUGCUGUAAAUAAAGAGCAUGGGUGAUUGUACCAAA